CUGCAAUGCCAAGGCCAGCUCAUUGUUGUCGAUGACAGAGGCAGCUGCCACGUCCAGAGGCGUGGAGCCCUGCAUGCCUGUGAGGGCGAGAGGCAGAGAGAGUGCUCUUCAGAGAUAGCUCAGGUGGUCGAACAUGGAGCGCUGGUUCUGCCGGCUGAUGCGACAGAAGUAGCAGAGGAAGCGGCAGCAGCUUGUGACCAUCUUGGGGAAGCGGAUCUCCUGGGGCGGGCAGAGCGGGCCGCUGGUCAGUGCCUCCCCCCGUGGCCCCCUGCCCUGAGCUCCUCGGCCCACACAGGCCCCUUACCUUGGAUUCGCCACCACCGAGGACAUUCACCAUGACCUCCAUGACUGUCUCGUGCAUGCCCAGUGCCCGCAUCAGGUUCGGGUGUUGGUAGAAGACUUUGUUGUUCAUGAUGUUCCUGUGAAUAGAUCCCAACCCGUUCAAUCUUUACGUCUACUCUGGAUGGCAGGAAUUAAAUUACCCCGAUUGUACAGAUAAGGAAACUGAGGCAUGGAUCCAAGGUGGGCUCCCCUAGAGCAGAGACCCUCGCCAUGUUGCCUGUCGUAUCCCCAGAUGCCUAGAAAGGGCCUGGCACAAAGUAGGUGCUCAAUAAACGCUUGCUGAGUGAAUGAAUGAGGCACAUUCGA